rnacentral:lncRNA from 1 species
GAGAGCUCUCAUUUUCCCCCCUUGCUCGGGAUGGUGCCACAGGAGGCUGUGCGGGCCCCGCUCCGCUUCGAAUGGCUGGUCCUAUAGUACCCCUCCUCAGGAAUGUCUCCCCAGUGCAAGGACAAAGACUGAAGAGACUGCUAUAUUGAUGGACUCUCAAGCCAACUAUGAAGUUGAAACAAAGAAAGUGAUCACCUGAAGACACCUCCUCUGCUAAGAAACACCCCCAAAUUGUGCAGCUUCUGCCACUAGAACUCUCAGAACAAGAGACAAUCUUUUCAAGAAACAGAAAAACUCAAUAAUGACAUCUAGAUUUUCAUGAGCCAAGAACUUUCCCUUCCUCAUGUGUAUUCCUCUGUUUGUACUUAAAUUCAUGUGACAUUCAUUUUUUUCCUAGUAUGGAUAUGCUUAUUAAUGCACUUGUUUCAAAAUCCCAAAUUGCACAAAUGUGUUAAUAUUUUAAGAAACAAAAUGAAUCCUACAAGGAGAAUGAUUUUUAGCCACACAUAGGGUUGGAUCUUGAGAGUGACCUACAGAAUAAAAGUACUUUUAAAAUAAAGUAGUCAGAGGCUAUUCAAAGGGUAAAAUAAUCAUAGUACCACAUUGGUCCACUUGACACUAACCAAUCGAUCAUUUUUUUUUAAUCAAGAAAGCUAGAUUCUAUCAGAUAAAAUCACUGCUUCUAAAGAGUUUAAAUCUAGUUAGAAAAAGUUAUAGAAAUGUUUGCAAAGAUAAGUAACAGAUAGAGUCAGUAGAGGAUAAGAUCAAAAACAAAACCAAGCAAAAGAUGAGUUCAGGGGAGUUUGCCAUCAAGUUGGCAAAACUGACUUACUUAGGGAAGAAAGUUAUAAAACAGGAAAAUAUGAGAUGAACCUUGAGUGAUGUGGAAGAUUUAGAUAAAUGGAAAGGAAGGAGAAAAUGGAGUUCUUUAGGUGGUUGUAAUUGGAGGAGGAAAUGAAUACACACAUCUUGUUGACUUAAACCCAGACAUUCAGCAGCUCUCUAUACAUAUCUGGAAAAGACUGCACAGUCACCUCCUGUCUCUCACCCCAGGUAUUACUUAGAAUUAUUAUCAUAUUUCCCUUCCUUUAAAGUAAGUAAGGGUGAUUGGUGACAAUAUGGAGAACUAUGAUUUUUCCAUUAACCUAAUAAUAAUUGGUAUUUAUUGAGUUCUGUUAAGCAUUUUACAUAUUAACUCACUUAAGCCUUUCAACAGCCUUGCAAAAUAGGUAUUAUUAUCCCCAUUUUACAGGCAAGAAAACUGAGGUUUAAGUAACUUGCCGAAGUGCCAUAUACAGGGCUCACAUUCAGUAUUGCAGUUGCAAAGCUCAUGAUCUAUAGUGCCAAGUUGCAAUAUUGUAGUCAAUGUCACAAUUAUUACCCCUUUUUAUAUUCCUUGAUAUUUUUCCAUGGCAAACAAUUAGCUAUUUCAUUUAAUAAUCACCUAAAACUUUUCAGUCUUCUGAUUAAAAUUACGCUGGAGUGAUAGAAUGUAUUUUCAUGAUAGAAAUUGGGAAAAAAAAUGGGGAAUGAAGUUUAUCAGCAUUUCAGACUUGUUUUUUUUUUUUUUUUUUGCAAGACUUUGAUGAGAUUGUUCACUUUUGUCUAUGUAAAAUCCCAAAUCCUUGAGAAUAAAAAAGGGGGAGGUUUAAGUCACUUGUUGCAAUGCCCUUUUUAAUAGAGGCAAUAAAUCUAAAGGCCAUAAAUUUAGAGUGACUUACAGAAGAUCGAACUUUGGAGUGUGGCAGAGUAAGGGAUGGAAACCGGGCCCUCCAGUUCACUAUCAGUAGCUUUUGCACUGGUCUGCCCUUCCUAAAUUAAGUAUGCACUUCAAUUUGAUGAGUGGAAACAGUCUAUCUGGGCAGUAACCAGGGAGCUUUGUGCCUAGUAGAUUGCUUCUGUUCUGCACUUCUUUGGUUUCCCACCUCAAUGUAAAAAAUAGCUAGCAAUGAAGUCCAGAAGUUGUCAAUGGUUCAUCCCCAGAAGAAUGCAUAAUGUCCAAAGUUGUAUGUGUAUGAUGUCUUCAAUGGUAUUAAGUUAUUUCAAAUUCUUAGUUCACCUACAUAAAUCAUUUCUAACAAGCAUCUUCUUAACCAACUUUAUGCACAGUGUAUGUUUGUAAGUGCUUCUGCACGAAUGUUUAUACAUGACUGUUUCCAUAGUACUUAUGUUUUUAAAAAUAUUCAGUCAUUUCCUACUAUAAUCCUCAUGUAUCCAUGUAACUGACUCAAAAAUACUUCAGCCACAGAAAGCUAAAACUGAGCAAAUCUCAUUCUUCUUUUCCAUCCCCUUUGCAUGUGGCUGGCAUUUAGUAAUGAUUAAUAAUAUGGCCAGCUGAAUAACAGAGGUUUGAGACACAAUUCUUUCUCAAAGGAGUCAGCUAAGCUGGGUCUACUUAUGGACAAACAUCUAAAUGUGUGGAAGUAUCUGAUAUUUGACAAUGGUAAAUUUCCACUUAGCUAGCUAGCAUUGUCAGACUUCAAUCUCCUCAUGGCUCUGGCCGUCCUGUUUUAAGCAUGAUAAUUGUUGGCCACAUCUCACAUAGUUCUCAUUGAGUGAGUUCAUAAAUAAACAGGGUUUUUUUUUUUUUUUAAAGAGCAGCCAAGCACAAAGUGUGACUUUGUUGACAUUUUAUGUGACUUUGUCAUAUGUUCCUAACCCCCAAUAAAAGCAAUGUUGCAUCAA